GGGCAUUGUGGGAGUUGUAGGCGCUGGCGCGUGGACUCGGGGCAGGUGGGCUGUCAGGAGUGAGGGCGUUAUGGCCUGUAAUGGCAGAAGCGGGCGUUGUGUACUCUCCCGUGGGGGUCACAAUGGGGUCCGUGCAGAGCUGUCCUUCUGACUCUAGAGGGCAUAAAAAACACCUGGAGGGCUUGAUAAAACAUUCUGAUUCAGCAAGUGGAGCCCAUCAUUUGCAUUUCUCAGUGUCCAGGCUUUUGGUGGUUUUCAGGUUUUCCAACUGGGUCCCACUUUGCUCCAGAAAAUCACAGGACUGUGAACGCGCAGCUAGCCCAGAGCGCUGAGGAGGGAGCAGCCCCUGCGUUCAGAGUGAUGGAGGAGGUGACCAGUGGGAGCAGCUUGGGGAACAGCUGGAGGUAGAGGCCCAGUCGCCUCUUCCAUGGUGGCCUUGGAAAACCUGGGUUGGACUUUUGUCCUGAGAGUUGGUGGGUUUCCUUGUAGAAACUGAAUGGCAGGGGACAGGAGGACACUCACUUGAGAGGGUACAUGCGGAGGGCCACGUCCAUGCCGGGGCAGUAGGACAGGAAGGCAGCCAGGG